rnacentral:rRNA from 1 species
GAUGAACGCUGGCGGCGUGCUUAACACAUGCAAGUCGAACGAAGCACUUUAUUUGAUUUCCUUCGGGACUGAUUAUUUUGUGACUGAGUGGCGGACGGGUGAGUAACUCGUGGGUAACCUGCCUUGUACAGGGGGAUAACAGUUGGAAACGGCUGCUAAUACCGCAUAAGCGCACAGCAUCGCUUGAUGCAGUGUGAAAAACUCCGGUGGUAUAAGAUGGACCCGAGUUGGAUUAGCUAGUCGGUGAGGUAACGGCCUACCAAGGCGACGAUCCAUAGCCGACAUGAGAGGGUGACCGGCCACAUUGGGACUGAGACACGGCCGAAACUACUACGGGAGGCAGCAGUGGGGAAUAUUGCAAAAUGGGCGAAAGCCUGAUGCAGCGACGGCGCGUGAGCGAAGAAGUAUUUAGGUAUGUAAAGCUCUAUAAGAAGGGAAGAUAAUGACGGUACCUGACUAAGAAGCACCGGCUAAAUACGUG